UGGUCGCAGGGCUACUGGACUACAAUCCCAGUAUGCACCGGGAUGGGGGCGGUGUGUAACGCUGCAAGGAAGGAUAGCGAGGCGCGUCCCUGGCCAGGGAUGCUGGGAGUUAUGGUCUCUUAACGGUUUCCAGCGAUUGUCCCUCGGCCUGCAGUCUACAAUCCCAGCAGGCACUGGGCUUCGGGGCGGUGUGUAGCACUGGAGGGAAGGAUACGGAGAGAAUAACCUGUCCGCUAGUAAUCAGUACCUGGGUCAUCAUGUCUGAUGCCGAGAAUGAGUUCAUCAACUGGGCAGCCACCACUGCAACAGAAGCCAACUGCAGUCAAGGCUGGCUUUGCAUCAAAUUGCCAGAGGACACAGGAAAUGGACUACCUUGGAGAAUUGUCCCUGCCAACAUUUCUGAAUGGCUCUGUCGCUACCAAUGGGGCCACAAUAACACUUGCAAUCCAACCUGGACUUCCUUUGCUACUUUAAUAACAUCUUAAUACACUAUAAUAAUAGUAUAACCAUUGUAGUUUCCUGGGGGCCCCUCUGGGUAUGCAGAUCCUAUUGGUGGCAAUACCUGGCCCUAUAUUGGAUGGGGAGAUGCACUUGGGGUUGCCUUUAAUUCCAUUCACCAUCCAGGAUAAUAUUCUCCUCCCCAGUAAUCUAGACAAACAUUGCUGGUUUUGAAUGUGCCAGACUCCCUGGUGGUGGUACCCUAUCACAGUAUUCUUCCCCUGCCCCUGGUACAAUCCUGUUUCAGUAACAAAGUAAAAUAUUAAGCCUACAUGUAGAAAAAGCUCUUAAUGAUAGUAGCAUUGGACUUUUAUUGUUAUCAGAUGAAUUUGCUCAGCUGCGUACUGUUGUGUUGCAAAAUCAAAUGGCAUUAGGUAUGCUUACCACAACCCAAGGAGGAGUUUGAGCCUUGCUGCAUACUGAAUGUUGUGUGUAUAUUCCUGACAAUUCUCACAAUAUUACUCUCCUUGCCCAAGACAUGCAAGGACAAGUAAAACAGUUAGAAUCUAACCGUCAGGACCCCAUCACGGAUUGGCUGUCACACUGGCAUUGGCGUUGACCAUGGUGGGUGUGGUUUUUAUUAAUUGUGCUUUUCAUUCUCCUCUGCUUACCGUGUAUCUGUAAUCUAUACCAAUUGUGCCAUCCCCAUAUAUCUGUAAAAACAUUUUCCUACAAUUGGGUGUCAAAUUGAGGCUGAAUGUGAAGGAAAAGUUAAAUAUUAAAUUUGAACUCAAUGAACAUA